rnacentral:rRNA from 1 species
UACGUAGGGGGCAAACGUUGUCCGGAUUUACUGGGUGUAAAGGGUGCUCAGGUGGUUUUGUAAGUCAGAGGUGAAAUUUCGGGGCUCAACCCCGGAACUGCCUUUGAUACUGCAAAGCUUGUGUACGGAAGAGGCUGAUGGAAUUUCUGGUGUAGCAGUGAAAUGCGUAGAUAUCAGAAAGAACACCAGUGGCGAAAGCGGCUUCCUGGUCCAGCACCGACGUUCAGGCACGAAAGCGUGGGGAGCAAACAGG